rfam:Pichia pastoris GS115 chromosome 3, complete sequence
GGGCGUGUGGCGUAGUUGGUAGCGCGCUCCCCUUGCAAGGGAGAGGUCUUGGGUUCGAUUCCCAACUCGUCCA